rnacentral:rRNA from 1 species
CUACGGGAGGCAGCAGUAGGGAAUCUUCCGCAAUGGACGAAAGUCUGACGGAGCAACGCCGCGUGAGUGAUGAAGGCUUUCGGGUCGUAAAACUCUGUUGUUAGGGAAGAACAAGUGCUAGUUGAAUAAGCUGGCACCUUGACGGUACCUAACCAGAAAGCCACGGCUAACUAUGUGCCAGCAGCCGCGGUAAUACGUAGGUGGCAAGCGUUAUCCGGAAUUAUUGGGCGUAAAGCGCGCGCAGGUGGUUUCUUAAGUCUGAUGUGAAAGCCCACGGCUCAACCGUGGAGGGUCAUUGGAAACUGGGAGACUUGAGUGCAGAAGAGGAAAGUGGAAUUCCAUGUGUAGCGGUGAAAUGCGUAGAGAUAUGGAGGAACACCAGUGGCGAAGGCGACUUUCUGGUCUGUAACUGACACUGAGGCGCGAAAGCGUGGGGAGCAAACAGGAUUAGAUACCCUGGUAGUCCACGCCGUAAACGAUGAGUGCUAAGUGUUAGAGGGUUUCCGCCCUUUAGUGCUGAAGUUAACGCAUUAAGCACUCCGCCUGGGGAGUACGGCCGCAAGGCUGAAACUCAAAGGAAUUGACG